rnacentral:misc_RNA from 1 species
UCAGAACACAACCCUACCCAAUGUAGGGGCCCCACAACAAGCCCAAUUCUUGACAGCAAACUAGGCUCAGCAAUCCGAAAACUCUCACGGUACUAUCGUCCAGUAGAACCGAGCAAGAGUAACCCACCAGAGCCAAAUCAGUAGAGACCAUCCUCCAAAAACUAGCAGUCAAAACUAAACUAGCCAAAGCUAGGAAGAAGAUACUCCACAACCAAAGCA